rnacentral:rRNA from 1 species
AGAGUUUGAUCAUGGCUCAGAUUGAACGCUGGCGGCAGGCCUAACACAUGCAAGUCGAGCGGUAGCACAGAGAGCUUGCUCUCGGGUGACGAGCGGCGGACGGGUGAGUAAUGUCUGGGAAACUGCCUGAUGGAGGGGGAUAACUACUGGAAACGGUAGCUAAUACCGCAUAAUGUCGCAAGACCAAAGUGGGGGACCUUCGGGCCUCAUGCCAUCAGAUGUGCCCAGAUGGGAUUAGCUAGUAGGUGGGGUAACGGCUCACCUAGGCGACGAUCCCUAGCUGGUCUGAGAGGAUGACCAGCCACACUGGAACUGAGACACGGUCCAGACUCCUACGGGAGGCAGCAGUGGGGAAUAUUGCACAAUGGGCGCAAGCCUGAUGCAGCCAUGCCGCGUGUGUGAAGAAGGCCUUCGGGUUGUAAAGCACUUUCAGCGGGGAGGAAGGCGUUAAGGUUAAUAACCUUGNNCGAUUGACGUUACCCGCAGAAGAAGCACCGGCUAACUCCGUGCCAGCAGCCGCGGUAAUACGGAGGGUGCAAGCGUUAAUCGGAAUUACUGGGCGUAAAGCGCACGCAGGCGGUCUGUCAAGUCGGAUGUGAAAUCCCCGGGCUCAACCUGGGAACUGCAUUCGAAACUGGCAGGCUAGAGUCUUGUAGAGGGGGGUAGAAUUCCAGGUGUAGCGGUGAAAUGCGUAGAGAUCUGGAGGAAUACCGGUGGCGAAGGCGGCCCCCUGGACAAAGACUGACGCUCAGGUGCGAAAGCGUGGGGAGCAAACAGGAUUAGAUACCCUGGUAGUCCACGCCGUAAACGAUGUCGAUUUGGAGGUUGUGCCCUUGAGGCGUGGCUUCCGGAGCUAACGCGUUAAAUCGACCGCCUGGGGAGUACGGCCGCAAGGUUAAAACUCAAAUGAAUUGACGGGGGCCCGCACAAGCGGUGGAGCAUGUGGUUUAAUUCGAUGCAACGCGAAGAACCUUACCUGGUCUUGACAUCCACAGAACUUUCCAGAGAUGGAUUGGUGCCUUCGGGAACUGUGAGACAGGUGCUGCAUGGCUGUCGUCAGCUCGUGUUGUGAAAUGUUGGGUUAAGUCCCGCAACGAGCGCAACCCUUAUCCUUUGUUGCCAGCGGUCCGGCCGGGAACUCAAAGGAGACUGCCAGUGAUAAACUGGAGGAAGGUGGGGAUGACGUCAAGUCAUCAUGGCCCUUACGACCAGGGCUACACACGUGCUACAAUGGCAUAUACAAAGAGAAGCGACCUCGCGAGAGCAAGCGGACCUCAUAAAGUAUGUCGUAGUCCGGAUUGGAGUCUGCAACUCGACUCCAUGAAGUCGGAAUCGCUAGUAAUCGUAGAUCAGAAUGCUACGGUGAAUACGUUCCCGGGCCUUGUACACACCGCCCGUCACACCAUGGGAGUGGGUUGCAAAAGAAGUAGGUAGCUUAACCUUCGGGAGGGCGCUUACCACUUUGUGAUUCAUGACUGGGGUGAAGUCGUAACAAGGUAACCGUAGGGGAACCUGCGGUUG